CGACGCGGCCGCCGGUCCUACGCUGAUUGACGCUCCGCCCGGAACUCAGACCCCGUGCACAAGUUUCCGGGGUCUAGAACCCCUCAGGCAGCCCAUGGCUGGCCGGAAGGAGCGGGGUUCCAGGGCUCCCGCCAGACCCGACGGAGGGCAGGAAGGGAGAAUGAAGAGAGAAACUUCAAUGAAGAAGAAAGUGGCAAGUGGCGCUUUUCCUCUGAGGCCUGACUACACCCAAGACCUCCAUGGAGAAAUACACCAGUGGAACAGAGCAGUGGAUGCAGCAGACUUCAGUCACUGGUGUUAUUCAGGUUCAGAUGUCUCCAGAAAAGGGCAGUUGUUUUUAUUUCUUCCAUUUCUUUUUCCCUCCUAUCUUCUUCAUCAGUUGCCCAAAGUUUGCAUAACCCUCCUUUGUCCUCCAGCCUUGCUUCUAAUCUCUUUUCCUUUUCCCUUUUAUCCUUUUCCUUGUUCCUCCUUCUACUCCUCUUCCUUCCCCUUCUCCUUCUAUUUCUCUGUUUCCCUCUAACCCCUUUUAAAUUUGCUCCCCUCAGGAUAAAUUCACCAUGCUAAGGGCUUACUUAUUGUGUACAAUUUUCUGCAUUGUUUUAGAUUUUGUUAUAACCACAAAUAUAGUUAAUAUGGAUAAAGGUGGCAAAUUAAGAGUUACCAGAGUUUGUCAUUUUACGGGCUGUGUUUGAUGCUAUUGUUAUUGCUAUUUGUACUUCUUUAGCCAAGGUGACAUAAUUGUUCUUAUCAGUUGUUCUUUCUGGUAUGCCAAGACAGACUGCCUAAGGGUCAUAAAAAAUACUUUAGGCCAGUGCCAAAUAGGCAACAAUUUUUUAUCUGUAAUAAAUUGAAGUGGUAGAAUCUUACAACAGACUCAAAGCCCAAAAGCCAUCUGAACCUGGGAAACAUUUCUGAGAAGUAGUUAUUUCCUAAGUGUUCUAAAUAUUAGCAAUAAAGGUACUCAUCAUAAGUAAUUUAUGAGCAUCAGCCCAGAAAUUAAACUAAAAAAAAAAAAAAAGAAGGAAAUGAGAAGACACUUAAGCAAGAUGCAACCUGAGACUUCCAGCUCAUCAAAGGCAAAAUGAGGGACAAUGAGUUGGAACAAUUCAGAAAUCUCUCUGAGGUGGUAAAACAAGUAACAAAGCAGAUGAAUGAGGCUCUAGAAAAAAAUCAAAUCAGAAAUAAUCUGUCACAUAACUACAGAGAUGGUGACUGUAAUGAAAGAUGUGGUUAGUGAUUCUAGAGCAGAUAUGAAUAAAAAAUAAAGGAGCAUAGGAAAAUGAUGGAAAUCAGGAACACCCAAUAUAGGAAAGCAAUGGAAUCCAUGAAACAGAUUCAAACAGGUGUCUAGCAGAUUAAAAAUUCCAUUGAAAGCAUAUGUAGCAGAAUGAGCCAAUGUGAGAACAGAAUCUCAGAUCCAGAAGAAGGAUUGUGGUUAGCAAUCAUGAAAAGGAAUAUUUCUUAAAAACAGCAAGAGGCCAUGAAAAAAUCAAUCCAAUAACUGCCUGAUGAUGCAAAGAAGACUAACAUAAGAGUGAUCAGAGUCAAUGAAAAAGCAGGAGAUAGUGCAAAUGACAUAAAAAUCUGUUCACAGAAGACAGAAUAUUUCCCAAGCAGGGAAAAACAAGUGACAUAUGGAUAAAUGAGGAAUCUAGAUCUCCAAUUAGCCAUGAUUAAGAAACAAAACAAAACAAAAGUAGGCCAAUGCAUAAUAGUCAACAUUCCAGAAAUUCAACACAAGAGCAGAAUAUUAAAAGUUAUUAGACAAAAGAAAGAAAUCAUCUAUAAAGGAAACCUCAUCAGAAUCAUAGCAGAUUUCUUAACACAAACACAAGUAUUUAAAGCCCUAAAGAAAAACAACCUCGAAGCCAGACUGAUGUAUGCCACAAAAAAGUCUUUCAAAAUUAAUGGGAAAAAGAUACUUCUACAACAAAGAACACUUGAAGAAAUUAAUAACUACCAAACAGCACUUCAAAAUGUUCUGAAAGACAUUCUAGAAAUAGACAAUGAGGACUAUAACUCCAUAAACCCCAACAGAAUGUAUCCACCAGGUAAGGCAAGCAACUAAACACAGCGGGUAAAAAAAGGGAACCACAACAGGAAAACAUGACAAGGAUAAGUCAAUACAUGUCAAUUAUAAUCGUCAAUAUAAAUGAUCUCAAUUUACCAAUCAAAAGAAACAGACUGGAAGAAUGGAAGCAAAGUCGAAGAAUCUACCACAGGGGCUGGGGAUUUAGCUCAGCGGCAUAAGCACCUGCCUUGUAAGCAGGUGGUUGUGAGUUCAAUCCCCGGUACCGAUAAAAAGUUAAAAAAAAAAAAAAAAGAAUGUACCACAUACAAAAAAUAUUUAAUUAAAAAUGAAAUUCAUAAACUGAAAGCCAAAGUAGGAAAAUAAUACUCCAUGAGACUAGAACCCAGGAAAAAAAAGCAAGGGUAGCUAUUCUAUUUGCAGGCAAAGUGGAUUUUAAGCCAAGACUGAUUAGAGACAAAGACGUUCACU